UAUCAAUCUAGGUGAUUUCUGUAUGGGUAAGGAGAGGAAUAAUUUUUCCAUCAUCUUUCAAAAACAAAUAACGUUAUAGAAGUAACUCACUCGCCCCGUGUGUCAGACACAGCGCUUCGGUAAAGCCGCAUCUUUUCUCCAAAAGUCACCGUUAAUUCUCCUCAUAACGGUAAACAGAUCAUCACGUUCCCGCGCGCUCUCCGAAGAAAUGAACCUCGCGCGCCGCCCGAUCUCUGACUGACGUUAGUGUUUACGUAAUGACGUGUUUAAGAAACACAUUCAUAUUCCAGAUAAUAACACCUACAGUAAUAUAAAUUACUGACACUCUUGUUUUUGAAUGAUAUUAGUAUUAUUAUUUUUUCAAAACAACCUCAAAACAAAGCGGAAAUUAAAUGCGCGCUGUUCCAAAAAAAAAAAAAAAAAAAAAAAAAAAAAAAAAAAAGAAAAAGAAGAAAAAGCGCGCGAGCGGCUCGAGUGUGACGUCACAGCGCCGCGGCUAUAUAAAGCCCUGCUCAGGAUUCUAACGGCAGACGCGGAUCUGGUUGAGCGAGUGUUUCGAUCACUGACCUAAACUCUUCAGAUUCACGAGAUUUACACACAGUCUUUUCAGACUAUUCGCAGUUUACACACAUUGUGUCAUCAGUAUAAUCAGAGGAUGUCUACAACAGCUGAGCGCAGAGAAUCUGAGCGUGCGCCUGUCGCUCGAGCGGCCUGGGCUUCGAGAGAAUCGAGCUUCAAGAGAAUCGAUCUGAACGAAGAAAUGAAGCACCGCUCAGCAGACAAAGGGAAGAAGGUGAAAGCGGUGCGUGUCUUCCUCCAGAAGCUGUGUCCAGACAGAGUGCUGCGUCUCUCAGCACAGACGGACGCUCAUCUGGACCACCCCGAGGUGACGGCUGUCCCGGGUCCCUCGGCCGCUCCGGAGCUGCUGUGUCUGCCGGGUCAGGUGUGUGAAGAUCCGGAGAUCAGAGAGCCAACGCUUCGUCCGGAUCCAUCCGCUCUCAGCCUCGCUCACAAUGUGAGGAAGAGGAGAGCAGUGUGUGUGUUCUUCCGGAGAGCGUGUGAGUGUGUGAAGCAGCUCUUCCCGUGCUGUGACCCGGACAGAGUCCAGCCUCCUAAAGCAGAGCCGGACCUGGACCGACCCCAGCUCGUUCUGCCGGAGCAGGACCUCCAGUCGUCUCCUGAGGAAGAAGCUCCCUCCGAGAUCCAGCCCCACGAUGCAGUUCUGUCCGGUUCAGUGUCCGGUCCAGUGUCCGGUCCAGUGGUCAGUAAUAUUUCAAGUUCGGUGUCGAUCGGGUCAGAAACAGCACCGGACACAGUGUUGCCUGAUCCAGAAAUCCAGCUGCCUCAAGGUGAGUCAUUGCUGCUUUGCAUCAUGUUAUUUCUGCUCUGUUAUUUUCUGUUUAUUGUUAUAUUGAUCUGCAGAAACUAAAGCAAGUCUUCAGGACUCUUGAUCUGAUGGUUCUUCAGCUCUGCUUGAACGUGUCCAUCUUCUGUUUCUGUGUUUGUCAGGAUCCAUCGUGUCUUUGUUUGAAGUGGGACAUCUGAUCGCGUCCGGGAACUUCAGCAAGGUCUACGAGGGGACACACAUAUUCAGCGACAAAGUGAAGGUUGCUCUGAAGUGUGUCCCCAAGCGCAGAGCGGACCGCUACCUCGACAUUGUAAGCUGGCUAAACCUGAAGAAUAUUUGGUGUUUGAUAACCUGUAGCUGAAGACGGUUGUUGUGUUGGUCUCUUCUCAGCCUGGUCACUCCAGACCGGUGCUUGCUGAAGUGGCUCUGAUGCUGCGGCUGGGAGAAGCUCCCUCGUGCCCCAACAUCACGGAGCUACACCAGUGGCUGGAGGACGAGAGCAGCUUCACUCUCAUCAUGGAGUACCCUGAACCCUGCCGGACCUUGGAGGAUUACGUCUUGUUCUCCGGCCCCGUUAGUGAAGCACAAGCACGCUUGUUCAUGCUUCAGGUGCUUCAAGCAGUCAAACACUGCCAUGAGCGUGGAGUUUAUCACGGUGAUAUCCGCUCGAGGAACAUCCUGGUGACUCUCCACAGUCUGGAGCUCAAGCUCAUCGACUUCCGCUGCGCUCGUCUGAUCAGCAGCGAGGGCUUUGACAGCAGCCAGUACCAGGGUGAGUCACGUGAUGUUGUGUUGUUGACGGUGACGCGUACAGAAGCACUGAAACUGUGUGUGUCUCCCAGGAUCAGACGCAUACACCCCUCCUGAGGUCCUCGGCCAGUCCAUCUUCCACGCCGCAGCAGCAGACGUCUGGGCGCUGGCAGUUCUGCUCUUCGAGAUCAUUCACAGAUAUCUGCCCUUCGAAAGCUUUGAUGCCAUUCAGCACGGCUACGUCCGGAUGGAUCCCACCUUAUCCACAGGUGACCGCACAAACAGCUCCACACGAUGAUGUUUACUGUUCAUGUGUGAUGUGCGGAGACUAACCGCGCUCUCUCUGAACUCUCCCCAGCGUGCCAUGACCUGAUUUUCCACUGCUUGAGCCGAAAUCCAGCUCACCGGCUGACGCUCCAGCAGCUGGAAGAGCACCGCUGGAUGAAGGCCUAGACUGGAGAAGACAGGGAUCCCGAUGUGCACCAGACAGAGUUUACUGUCUCCAGGAGUCUCAGGAGAUGCAGCGAGACUCUGGACUCGUCUCUGAUCGAUCAAACACAGAGAAACACAAGAACGUGCUGUCUGGAGAAAUCAGGAAGAUCAGAAGAAAUUCUACAAUUACAAAUUCAGAAGUGCAUGUAAACACAAUGCUCUUAAUUAGUGCUUCACAAAUUAUUAACGUAAGGAAUAUAAAAAAACUACUUUUAUAUAAUAUUUCAGAAAGUAAAUGUAGUCACUAAUUGGUGGCUUAUUAGUGACAUUAAUGUAAAAAAAAAGGAAAAAAAAAAAGGAAAAGAAGCUAUUUUUAAAUAAUAUUUCAGGAAGUAAAUCAUUUUUUUAAAUAAUAUUUCAGAAAGUAAAUGUAGUCAUUAAUUGGUUUAUUAGUAACAUUCACAUAAGAAAUGUAAAAAAAAGCUAUUUUUUUAAUAAUAUUUCAAAAAGUAAAUGCUAUUUUUUAUAAUAUUUGAUCAAGUAAAUUCUAUUUUUGUAUCAUAUUUCAGAAAGUAAAUGCUAUUUUUUUUUAUAAUAUUUAAGUAAAUAUAGUCACUAAUAGGUGCUUUAUUAGUGACAUUAAUGUAGGAAAUGUAAAAAAAAUGCUAUUUUUAUAAUAUUUCUGAACACUGCUCAUAACUAAUCAUGUAUUAUUUUGUAAUAAUUUAUAAAUGUAUUAAAAAUGAAUAAAUAAACCAAAUUACUGUAUGUGAGACA
ensembl:lncRNA